AAUGAACGUUGGCGGCGUGGAUUAGGCAUGCAAGUCGUGCGGAAAGGCUCCUUCGGGAGUACUCGAGCGGCGCAAGGGAGAGUAACGCGUGGAUAUCUACCCCCUGGACUGGGAUAGCGGCGGGAAACUGCCGGUAAUACCAGAUAAUGUCUGCGGACCAAAGGUGUGAUUCCGCCGGGGGAUGAGUUCGCGUCCUAUUAGCUAGUUGGGAGGGUAAUGGCCUACCAAGGCAAAGAUGGGUACCGGGUGUGAGAGCAUGGCCCGGCUCACUGGGACUGAGACACUGCCCAGACACCUACGGGUGGCUGCAGUCGAGAAUCUUCGGCAAUGGGCGCAAGCCUGACCGAGCGACGCCGCGUGCGGGAUGAAGGCCUUCGGGUUGUAAACCGCUGUCAGAGGGGAGGAAAUGCGUGAGAGUUCUCUCUCACGUUUGACCUAUCCUCAGAGGAAGUACGGGCUAAGUUCGUGCCAGCCGCCGCAGUAAAAC
rnacentral:rRNA from 1 species